CGCCUCCGUCGCAAAUGGGCAAGACUGCUGGAGCCCCUGUGCCGUGCGGAGAUAUGAUACCCACGACAAAUGGUUGGUGGCUUCUGUAGUGUUCUCAAAAGGAAGCGGAGGCCACAUCUUCGAGGAGUCCGAGGUGGCCAGUCUCCCCAUGUGUGUUAUGAAAGCAUACCUGCUUAUCAAGAUGGACUGAGAAAGUAUCAAGAAGAUGAACCCAAGGGUUUCUGGACACAGUCAGAGCGGAAGGACCUACAUUAUUAGUUUUACUAUGUUUUACCUUUCAGUGUUCUUGGAAUUGUAUGGGUGCUUUUGGAGUGGUAUAAAAAUAAAUAAAAAGCAGAAAGCUAAUUUGUAAUUGCUUGUAUAAAUGUUCCAAAAUUCAUUUUAUCUUCUAAACUUUCUU
rnacentral:lncRNA from 1 species